UAACCAGUCACUGCUGGAAGAUGCAGGAGAGAGGGAACAAAAGAUGCUUUACGGUUGGUGAAAACCCUGUGUCCUUGGAGAAAGCUGGAUCCCGUUUUCCUGAUGGGGAGCCCAGAGCUUGAAAGGCCGCAGUUGGCACUUCGAGAAGGAAGCGGAGAAUCAAGAUGUCGCCUGGAGCAAUAGUAGCAUCGAGGAAUGGGACUGGGGAAGCCCUUUGCAUAUGCAGCUGCAGAAACAGACACCCCAAUGCUAUUUACAUACAGCUCUAUGUAUAAAAAAAGAAAAUAUGAAUAUUACUACUCAGUGCAUGCCUUGUCGAGGACGUGGCCCCUCCCUUUUUUGCACCUUCCGAUGUGAACUUUGAUAUUCUUUCAUGUCUGGGGCACCGGAAGAGAGAUGCCUAUUGUGUACCUAGAAAAUUGGCCAAGACUGGUGGGAAUUAGCCUCAGAGCCGACCAGCUGCCUGGGGAGGGAUGCUGAUGGAGGAAGAGGUGAAAUUGCCAAAGGCAAAAUAGAAAGAGGAAAAAAAAGCGAGAAGGACUGGGGCCGAUGUUGUGGGGGCAGUCUGGGAUACUUCCAUUUCGAAGUCUUCACAAGCCCUAGCCUCUCUCUCUAUGCCUUCCUAGAUAGAUGGCUAGUCCCACUGUCACAUCCAGACAAGUGGGAUUUUUUUUUCUACCAAUCCGGUGUCUUUGGUGCUUUACUUACAUUUUGCUGGUGCUAAGUGUGUCCUUGCUGGUGCUGCUGUGGUGUUUUGUUGCCAGACCUGCAAGGCCAGGGGACAAGAAAGAUUUCUAUUUUGCUGUUUCGGAUGCUUUUUUUUUAAGGGAUGAGUCGCAAAAGUGCCACUUGGGAGUCUCUUCUCUUUCUCUGUGGGGGCGAAUAUCCAGAGGUGUUUGGGAGCAGACCUUGGGAUCUGGGAGGGAGGAAGGGAGGGGCCAGCAGUGAGUGGCUUGCUGGUGGCGAGGUGGAAAGCUGACCUCAUAUGGGACUUGUUUGCUGUCUCCUCCACCCCCGCAAAAGUAUCCUGGGAGUCAGCCCACAGCCUCCCCUGCUCCCCAAGAGGAUUUCAGGGUUUAGGUUUUAUGGAUUAAAGAGCCAAGAAAUAGCUACGUUCUGGACAAGGGUGAUUUAUAAGCUAGGGAUGUUGGGGGAGGGAGUGGGUCAUUUAUAUGAAAUGCACCAGCAUCUCACUAACUGACAGAGGGUCUGAUCCCGCCCCCAACCCAGGAUAAGCUACUAUUUUCAGAAGUUUCUAGAAGGGCUAAAAAAAGAUGUGUGCUGGACUGAGGCUUGGCUGCAAAGACUCUUCAGGGAACAAUGAUUAAUUUUUGCUUUCAUUUUAAAAGAUCCAACAAAAACAGGUAUUAUUCCUCUGUGCAGGGUAUCACACUGCCGUUUUCAAAGCUGAGAUGGUGAGGCGCUGGGCUGCCGGUUCAGAUGUCAUUCGACAAGGCUGGAUCUGCUGGUCCCCACCCAGUACCGAUGGACUCGGGGUCCGCUGGGCUGGUGAGCAGACAGCCUUCCGGUUCUAAGAAGCCAGCAGAGGGAUCAACCGUUGCUGAGGUUGACAUGUGGCUGAAAUGGGAAUUAUUCCUCCUAGGCCUUGCUGAAAAUUACCAGAUCCUCUAGAAUGCAGGACCUUUCAAUGCUGCUGCAAGCUGGGAGCUUUCUUUCUCCCUCUUUUUUUAAACUCAUGCCUUAUGUUUUCUUAAAUAGCCCUUUAAAGAAAAAUGCAACCCAGAACCACAGGUGAGGGCAGCACCCCAGCAGACAGCUUGGAACUCAGCAAAGCAAAAAGGAAAGCUUAUUUAUGGAGAAUCUUCCCUUUCAUCACUGGAGCCCUCCCCACAGUUAUGUUUACGGAGGACGGCGGACGGGUGUGUAGGCAGGGUCUGCAGAGAGCAGCAGGUGACAUCCCUGCACAGCCGCGAACUUAGAGAAGGCACAUUAAUUAGAAUGAUAUGAAAUACAGUCUCUGCUUAUGUUUAGUGACUUUCCUAGCCAGACACUAGAGUCUUCCCCACUCGGCCCAUUUUGGGGGAGGGGAUUUUCAUUCCUUUAGGGGUAUGCAACCCCAGCUCUCUGCUGCUUUACGGCUGUACCUUCAAGACUGCAGUAAGGACGUGCUGACCACCUAGACACAGGGGAAAGGUAAAAGGUCAGAGCAUCCCUUUGUCAACCCUCACGAGCUUAGGAAAUUUCCACUGGAGGACCCAAACUCCACGUGCUGGGGUUAGUGUUUUGGGCAAUUUUGAUUUCAAUGAAGCCACAUCGCUGAGAGAACUGGGCACCCCGACCUCCUCACGGAGAUUUACAGCCAAGUCCUUGUACAUAUUCUCUUGUAUUACUAGAAACUGUGUAUUUAUCUAAUCCUGGCUUUUUCUUGCACAUCAUUAAUUUGAGUGCAUUUCUCGACUGCCCCGAUUUUUGACAAGGGGUUGUUUUUAAUGCUUGUUUUUAUAUGAGAUUUGACUUCUUGAUGGACAUUUGUAUUAGGAAAUUGAAGCAUGAUAUAUGUAUAUAUUGUCUCCACCGUCUCUCCUGUUGCAUUACUGGGAUUGCAUGAGAUAGUGGGGUGGUGUUUUUUAAAGACUGUUUCCACCGUGUGCAAAGUGCUGGCACCCUCCCUCCCUGCCUUUCCCCCUUUUCUCUGGCUGCCAAGGAGUCAUUGAUUUUGAUUAGCCUCACUGCAGAGCGUCUGUGAA
rnacentral:lncRNA from 1 species